CACGUAGGGCGCAAGCGUUGUCCGGAAUUAUUGGGCGUAAAGAGCUCGUAGGCGGUCUGUUGCGUCCGCUGUGAAAACUCGGGGCUUAACCCCGAGCCUGCAGUGGAUACGGGCAGACUAGAGGUAGGUAGGGGAGAAUGGAAUUCCCGGUGUAGCGGUGAAAUGCGCAGAUAUCGGGAGGAACACCGGUGGCGAAGGCGGUUCUCUGGGCCUUGCCUGACGCUGAGGAGCGAAAGCGUGGGGAGCGAACAGG
rnacentral:rRNA from 1 species